rnacentral:tRNA from 1 species
GCAGGAUAGCUCAGCCC